AUUGAACGCUGGCGGAAUGCUUUACACAUGCAAGUCGAGCGGCAGCGCGGGGGCAACCCUGGCGGCGAGCGGCGAACGGGUGAGUAAUACAUCGGAACGUGUCCUUGAGUGGGGGAUAGCUCGGCGAAAGCCGGAUUAAUACCGCAUAAGCUCUGAGGAGGAAAGCGGGGGAUUCGCAAGGACCUCGCGCUGUUGGAGCGGCCGAUGUCGGAUUAGCUAGNGGUGGGGUAAAGGCCCACCAAGGCGACGAUCCGUAGCUGGUCUGAGAGGAUGAUCAGCCACACUGGAACUGAGACACGGUCCAGACUCCUACGGGAGGCAGCAGUGGGAAUUUUGGACAAUGGGGCAACCCUGAUCCAGCCAUUCCGCGUGAGUGAAGAAGGCCU
rnacentral:rRNA from 1 species